ACAGACUUAAAUUACUGUACUAUAAACCUUAAACUAAGAACCUAUGUCAUUCUGGAAUUUUUUUGUCUUAUGAACUCAACUUACUAAUAACAGCAGUGGAUGGGAAGAAGAAAAAAAAAAAAGAAAAAAAACUUGUGCUAAUUCUGGACGUAUAAAAUUCCCUACACGUGGGUGCUGCUGUUGUCUUUGCUUCAUCUUUUAAGAUAAUUGGCUGCUGGUACAUGUUGUGAUGGGUGAGCUUCCCAAAAUAGAAGCUCGCCUUUCAAAAGGAAAGAACAACACCUGGGAAUAUUACAGCAACAUUUCUUCUUCAACCAAAUCAGUCACAAAGCCUCAAGCCUAUAGUGUCACUCAUUGUGGUUAAAGUUGAAAAGGUGUGUACAAGCAAGACCGCCUACAAACCUGACUCACACCAGUCCUGUGAGGAGGAGUUGAGUCAAAAUUAGUGCAAACUAUUUUUAACAGUCCUUCCAAAUACUAAAGGACU